CCUACGGGUGGCUGCAGUGGGGAAUAUUGGACAAUGGGCGAAAGCCUGAUCCAGCCAUGCCGCGUGUGUGAAGAAGGCCUUCGGGUUGUAAAGCACUUUCAGUGGGGAAGAAAGCCUUGGGGCUAAUACCCUCGAGGAAGGACAUCACCCACAGAAGAAGCACCGGCUAACUCCGUGCCAGCAGCCGCGGUAAUACGGAGGGUGCGAGCGUUAAUCGGAAUUACUGGGCGUAAAGCGCGCGUAGGCGGUCUGAUAAGCCGGUUGUGAAAGCCCCGGGCUCAACCUGGGAACGGCAUCCGGAACUGUCAGGCUAGAGUGCAGGAGAGGAAGGUAGAAUUCCCGGUGUAGCGGUGAAAUGCGUAGAGAUCGGGAGGAAUACCAGUGGCGAAGGCGGCCUUCUGGACUGACACUGACGCUGAGGUGCGAAAGCGUGGGUAGCAAACAGGAUUAGAUACCCCGGUCGUC
rnacentral:rRNA from 1 species